ensembl:lncRNA
GUGUGUGUGUGUGUGUGUGCGUGUGCGUGUGCGUGUGCGUGUGUGUGUGUGUGUGUGUGCCAGCCAGGUCGCUGCCAUGGUACCCCAGCAGCUCCAGGCCUUGUUGAUCACGGCACCGUGCCCAAGGAUUACCAUAGCAACGGCAGUGGCAGCAGACAGUGCAGUGUGUGUGUGUGGUUAUAUGUAUGUGUGUGUGCGUGCUUCUAGUAUUUUACAGAAAUAAAAGUGUGUGUAGUAAUGCAUUCAGAUCCUGACCUUGAACAGGUAUGGUGGUCACUAGUGACAGUAUUGAUGUAGUCAGUAGUUACAGUAUUGUGGUCAGUUGUAACAGCAUGGUGUUCAGUAAUAGUAUGGUGGUCAGUAGUAACAGUUUGGUGGUCAGUAACAGUAUGGUGGUCAGUAGUGACAGUAUGGUGGUCAGUAGUGACAGUUUGGUGGUCAGUAGUAACAGUUUGGUGGUCAGUAGCAGUAUGGUGGUCAGUAACAGUAUGGUGGUCAGUAACAGUAUGGUGGUCAGUAGCAGUAUGGUGGUCAGUAGCAGUAUGGUGGUGGUAUUCAGUAUGGUGGUCAGUAACAGUAUGGUGGUCAGUAGUAACAGUUUGGUGGUCAGUAGCAGUAUGGUGGUCAGUAGCAGUAUGGUGAUCAGUGGUGGUGGUCAGUAACAGUAUGGUGGUCAGUAACAGUAUGGUGGUCGGUAGCAGUAUGGUGGUCAGUAUGGUGGUCAGUAGCAGUAUGGUGGUCAGUAGCAGUAGGAUGGUCAGUAGUAACAAUAUGGUGGUCAUUAACAGUAUGGUGUUCAGCAGUAACAGUAUUGUGGUCCAUAGUGACAGUAUGGUGGUCAGUAGUAAGAGAAUUAAUAUGGUCAGUAGUUACAGUAUUAUAAUCAGUAGUUCAAGAAUUGUGGUCAGUCGCUAUAGUUUGGUGGUCUGUAGCAGACAGUAUGGUGGUCAGUAGUAACAGUAUGGUGGUCUGUAGCAGUAUGGUGGUCAGUUGUAACAGUAUGGUGGUCAGUAACAGUAUGGUGGUCAGUAGUAACAGUAUGGUGGUCAGUAACAGUAUGGUGGUCAGUAGUAACAGUAUGGUGGGACAGUAGUAACAGUAUGGUGGUCAGUAGCAGUAUGGUGGUCAGUAGCAUUAUGGUCAGUAGCAGUAUGGUGGACAGUAGUAACAGUAUGGUGUUCAGUAACAGUAUGGUGGACAGUAGUAACAGUAUGGUAGUCAGUAACAGUAUGGUGGUCAGUAGUAACAGUAUGGUGGUCAGUAACAAUAUGGUGGUCAGUAGUAACAUUAUGGUGGUCAUUAGCAGUAUGGUGGUCACUAGUACCAGUAUGGUGGUCAGUAACAUUAUGGGGGUCAAUAGGAUUAUGAUGGUCAUUACCUGUAUGACACCCCAUGUUGUGACAGGUCACAGAGUGCGUCCCCCAAGUUCCUCCAAAAUCACUAGACCGAUAACAAUUGAUUUAGGCUCACCCGUUGUCCGACCGAAUCAGAUCAGUGUCAAUGUAAAGCAUGGAUGCUCCCAUUUUCCAUUUCCAUUAUUUGCAAAAUGGAAACUUCUUUGUGUGCUUCACUGUUGUCGGGAUCGGUUUUCUCCGGUAUUAUAUCUCUCUUCUUCUACACCACUUCAGCUACCAAGUUAAAAUGUUAACCUUUCUCUGUAGCAGGUAGUACUUUUCCAUUCCUACACAUCUUCCACCUGCGUUCAAACCCUGUUUUUUUGCUAAUGACACCAUUAGUGUGUCAUGGUUUCUGUUGAAGCAUGCGCGUGCCACUCACAAUGUGUUUUUCCGAAAUAUGGAUGAUUUCAAUGUUCUGCUUUGAGAAGGACCCACAGGCUUUAUCAGAACCCAGGAAAUGACUUCAUACAAAGAGAGAUGGAAAGAAUGUGACAGAGAGACGGGGCAGGGAAAAGAAAGGAAACAGGAUCAGGGGAAGAAAAGUGAGAUUGAGAGAUUCCGCCGAAUGGUGAAUAUCCAUCUAAAACCUUUUUUUGUCAGGAUGAUGUGGGUUCUUUUGUGUUUUUUGUCAAGCUGUCUUUUGUCUUCUCGCCCAAACGACGUAGACUCUUUUACUGCUUGGCAACAAAAUAUAUUUUAUGCAAAUUGUACCUCUUAUGUUGAAUGGUAAUAUUUGG